CAUGCAAGUCGAGCGCGAAGUCCCCGCAAGGGGACGGAGAGCGGCGAAAGGGAGAGUAAUACGUAGGUACCUGCCCUGAGGUCUGGGAUAGCCAUGCUAACGCGUGGGUAAUACCAGAUAAUGUCUCCGGACCAAAGGUUUACCACCUUAGGAGGGGCCUGCGGCCUAUCAGCUUGUUGGCGAGGUAAUGGCUCACCAAGGCUAAGACGGGUAUGGGGUGUGAGAGCAUGCCCCCACUCACUGGGACUGAGAACUGCCCAGACACCUACGGGUGGCUGCAGUCGAGAAUCUUCGGCAAUGGGCGCAAGCCUGACCGAGCGAUGCCGCGUGCGGGAUGAAGGCUUUCGGGUUGUAAACCGCUGUCGUAGGGGAGCAAGGCGUAAGCUUGAGCGAUCCUAGGAGGAAGGACCGGCUAAGUCUGUGCCAGCAGCCGCGGUAAUACAGACGGUCCAAACGUUAUUCGGAAUCACUGGGCUUAAAGAGUUCGUAGGCGGUCAAGAAAGUGGGGUGUGAAAGCCCUCGGCUCAACCGAGGAACUGCGCUCCAAACUACUUGACUUGAGGAGGCUAGAGGUAAGCGGAACUGAUGGUGGAGCGGUGAAAUGCGUUGAUAUCAUCAGGAACACCGGAGGCGAANGCGGCUUACUGGGGCCUUUCUGACGCUGA
rnacentral:rRNA from 1 species